rnacentral:rRNA from 1 species
ACGUAGGGUCCGAGCGUUGUCCGGAAUUACUGGGCGUAAAGAGCUCGUAGGUGGUUUGUCGCGUUGUUCGUGAAAACUCACAGCUCAACUGUGGGCGUGCGGGCGAUACGGGCAGACUUGAGUACUGCAGGGGAGACUGGAAUUCCUGGUGUAGCGGUGAAAUGCGCAGAUAUCAGGAGGAACACCAGUGGCGAAGGCGCCACUCUGGGCCGUAACUGACGCUGAGGAGCGAAAGCGUGGGUAGCAAACAGGA